rnacentral:tRNA from 1 species
UCCUGAUAGCUCAGUUGGUAAAGAAUCUGCUUUCAAUGCAGGAGACCCCGGUUCGAUUCCUGGGUCAGGAA